GGUAAUUCUCCAAGAUCCUGUAACCCAAGUUCAAAACCUGCCUAAUGCUUUCACUUCCAGGGUCUCCUGAAAUAGUUGCUGACCCCGAACAGACAACUGUGGGAGCCACUUGUUCAGGAUUUUGCCCUCCAUGUACCCAUCACUCCACAAAGGCCCCGAUAUCCCUGCCCUAAAUGGGAGGAAGAAGAAGGACAAAUCAGUUCUGGCACUCAUCAGCCAUGUAACCUUGGAGGGAAGAAAAACAACUCCUCUAACAAUACAUCAGGCCUACGGAGGAGCCGGGCAAAGCGCUGGGGUACAAGCCGCAGUCAACUGAGUGUUCUCAACGCUGAACUCCAUGAACCUGCUUGGCAGGAGGUUCAUCCCGUGCAGCCUCCUGC